ACACGAUACGUAAGAUUCAUGCAUUUUAUUUUAAUAAUAUAUACAUCGAUCAAUAGGGCUCGAUUUAUUACGUGGAAAACGACAGAGAAUCCCAUGCAUGAUUUACAACUGUAAUAAGAUCAGCGCCAGCAACAGUGUCGAUCGCCGGCCUGAAAGAGGUGGGAGUCGUGACCAAAAGCGUGAUAGAUGAUUGAAUCACCA
rnacentral:lncRNA from 1 species